rnacentral:rRNA from 1 species
UACCAGCACCCCGAGUGGUCGGGACGAUUAUUGGGCCUAAAGCAUCCGUAGCCGGUUCUACAAGUCUUCCGUUAAAUCCACCUGCUUAACAGAUGGGCUGCGGAGGAUACUAUGGAGCUAGGAGGCGGGAGAGGCAAGCGGUACUUAGUGGGUAGGGGUAAAGUCCGUUGAUCCAUUGAAGACCACCAGUGGCGAAGGCGGCUUGCCAGAACGCACUCGACGGUGAGGGAUGAAAGCUGGGGGAGCAAACCGG